UCGUGCUAGAUGGGGCGCUGGCGGUGCCCUGUACCCGCAAUCCGCCAUAGCGGGGUCGAAUUCCCCCUCGAGGGCCUGCACUGCCUAAACUG
rnacentral:SRP_RNA from 1 species